rnacentral:lncRNA from 1 species
UUUUGACCUAUGACACUCACUAUUUGCUUGUUUAAGUUCACAUUCACAUCAAUAUACAAGUGAUAAAGACUGUCAAUUAAAAGACCUCGUGCAAUCAAUUUAUUUCGUAAAUAAAUGGAACAAAAAUUUUUUAUUGAAAUUAAUUUCAAAACCUUUAUAUACUAGCUAUAGAAACAUAAUAAUAGUCCUUUAAAUCUAAUCUAACACCAGACAAUAAUCAAAGAGGAUAAGUGCCAACGGCCUCUACAGCAACCUUUGCUCCAUUGUCGAUCUGAAGAAUCAUGUCAUCUUUUCUCAACC